UGAACGCUGGCGGCGUGCCUAAUACAUGCAAGUCGAGCGAACAGACGAGGAGCUUGCUCCUCUGACGUUAGCGGCGGACGGGUGAGUAACACGUGGGUAACCUACCUAUAAGACUGGGAUAACUUCGGGAAACCGGAGCUAAUACCGGAUAAUAUUUCGAACCGCAUGGUUCGAUAGUGAAAGAUGGCUUUGCUAUCACUUAUAGAUGGACCUGCGCCGUAUUAGCUAGUUGGUAAGGUAACGGCUUACCAAGGCAACGAUACGUAGCCGACCUGAGAGGGUGAUCGGCCACACUGGAACUGAGACACGGUCCAGACUCCUACGGGAGGCAGCAGUAGGGAAUCUUCCGCAAUGGGCGAAAGCCUGACGGAGCAACGCCGCGUGAGUGAUGAAGGUCUUCGGAUCGUAAAACUCUGUUAUUAGGGAAGAACAUACGUGUAAGUAACUGUGCACGUCUUGACGGUACCUAAUCAGAAAGCCACGGCUAACUAC
rnacentral:rRNA from 1 species